rnacentral:lncRNA from 1 species
GUCCCUCCCUCAAGGAGUGGAGUUAGCGAGGCUGCGCUGGGGUGCUCCGUUGCCGAGGAUGGGCCGAGUUCGAGGCGGCAAAGGAAUUGUCUGCCAGGCUUCUGGAGGCACCUGGGCCGUGUGGGUUCACAGCGGUCAUCCAGGGAAUGGAUGGACAUGGUACAGCACUGGGGCCUGGGACCAGGACGAGCCUCAGAACACGGCUGCUGGCACCUCGUCCUUGACGUGCCCCAUCGCACUUCCUUCUCCCGCCCACGAGGACCUCGGUAAUGUCGCCCCUGAAACUGCUGCGGAACCUGGAGCCCACUGUAACCCAGAAUUGGAAUCCCAGCUCAGCCCCUGCACACCUGAUUGCCCGGAGAAAUGCCUUAUUCCUGACAGCCUCUUGGUUCUUUUCCGUCUCCGGUUAGGUGAGAAGGUCAAUCUGGCCCUGCGGGUUAUGUUGGGGGUUACAUGAGAACCUCAUUGGCAUGAAGAGGCCAGGCAGGUCCUCCGACAGUGCCACAGCCCCAGGCUUGUGCCGCCAAAUCACGGAGGCCUUCCGGGCCCUGAACACGAACCGGACGGGGCCUUCCCGCAUUACUACCCGAAUGACACUGCUGGGGGGACCGCUCUCUGGAUGCCAUUGUGGCCACGUGUCGGGACGGUCGGCUGCUUGACUCCACGACUUAAAGCUAGAUUUGGCCUUUUAA